rnacentral:rRNA from 1 species
UUAGGUGACUAUUGCAAUGAGGUCCACCUCUUCCCAUUCCGAACAGAGAAGUUAAGCUCAUUAGCGCAGAUGGUACUGGUAUUCCGGGAGAGUAUGUCGUCGCCAAUU